GGGAGGGUAUGCACUAAGAGAUUAGGCGUUCCCUUCGGGGACAGAAUGACAGGUGGUGCAUGGUUGUCGUCAGCUCGUGUCGUGAGAUGUUGGGUUAAGUCCCGCAACGAGCGCAACCCUUAUUACUAGUUGCCAGCAUUCAGUUGGGCACUCUAGUGAGACUGCCGGUGACAAACCGGAGGAAGGUGGGGACGACGUCAAAUCAUCAUGCCCCUUAUGACCUGGGCUACACACGUGCUACAAUGGAUGGUACAACGAGUCGCGAAACCGCGAGGUUUAGCUAAUCUCUUAAAACCAUUCUCAGUUCGGACUGUAGGCUGCAACUCGCCUACACGAAGUCGGAAUCGCUAGUAAUCGCGGAUCAGCAUGCCGCGGUGAAUACGUUCCCGGGUCUGGACCACACCGAG
rnacentral:rRNA from 1 species